rnacentral:tRNA from 1 species
UGCGGUAGUUCAGUUGGUUAGAAUACCGGCCUGUCACGCCGUAGGUCGCGAGUUCGAGUCUCGUCCGCA